rnacentral:rRNA from 1 species
AUGGAUGCAAUAUCGAAAUACUGGUUGGGAGAUGACGACAACCAUAAGCGUAUCCAUUGGGCAGCGUCGUGGAAAUUGUGUGUACCUAAAGAAAGGAGAGGCUUGGGGUUCAGGGAUUUACACGACUUUAAUUUAGCUCUCCUUGCUAAACAGGUUUGGAGGCUGCUCGAGAACCCUGAUUCUCUUUGUGCACAGAUUUUGAGAGCCAAAUAUUAUCCGAAUGGAAAGUUACUGGAUGCCAAGGUGAAAGGAAGCUCGUGUACAUGGCAAAGUAUUUGUGCUGGUAUUAAUACGUUCAGGAGAGGGGCAAUAUGGCGCAUAGGUGAUGGAUCACAAGUGAAAAUUUGGGCUGAUUCAUGGAUACAAUCAAGUGUUGAUGGCCGUUUCAUUACACCACGAGGAGGAACCCUUUUGUCUAAGGUCUCGGAGUUGAUUGAUCCUGUCACUGGGUUAUGAGAUCAAGAGUUGAUAGAUGACGUGUUUUGUCCGUUUGAUGCGCAUAGAAUUCUUGCAAUUCCGCUGGCACCACAUGGGUAGAUGGAAGAUUUUGUGGCCUGGAGGUUUACAAGGAACUUUACCUUCUCGGUCCGAUCAGCUUAUCAUGUGGAGUCGCAACAUCAAUUUGCACGUUGGUACGAACGAACAGAGGGGGAGCCUUCCCAGCGCUACCCGGUGUGGAAAAAGCUCCGGACAUCGCCCGCCCCAGCAAAGAUUAAGAUCUACACUUGGAAGGUUUUACACGGUUUCAUACCAUGUUAUGGGGUUUUGGCAAAUCGCCAUAUUGAUACGUUUGAUAGCUGCCCUAUGUGUGUGGGUGGAUGCGAAGACAUUAUGCAUGCUUUCUUCACUUUCCCUAGGGCAGCUGAAAUCUGGAGAUGUCUGAAUCUGGACGGGUUUGUGGAGGAGGCGUGUGAUGCAGACAGGGUGGGCUCGGCAGCGUUGGAUUAUAUUUUAUGUGCUCCCACACAUCAGACGUUGAUCACAGAUGUCCCAGCUCAGUUUCUAAUCCUUGUGGGUAUCUGGUACAUAUGGUGGGAACGUAGACAACACGUCCACGGGAAGGAAGUGCAGACCACGGCACGGGCCGCAUUGUCGACCGCGGCGCUGGCAGCAAAUUACUUCAAGGCUACGAAGAAGAGCACGACAGUGAGAUCAGAUGGAUGGAGGAAACCACAGGAGGAUUUCGUCAAGUUGAAUGUAGAUGCAGCUUUCCAUGCAGAUGCUCUCCAGGGGUUGUAG